rnacentral:ncRNA from 1 species
AUUUCUUAAUUUUGUUUUAAUUUAAGUUUGAUUCUUGCUUUAUUAUUUGAAUUUUGAAUCAUUUUAUAUGUAAGUUUUUCUUUUUUUCUAAAUGAUUUUUUAUCAGUAUUUAAUUUUAGUUUUUGUUUUUUGACAAAACUAGGGUUUUAAUAUUUAACUAACAAAAAUUGUGCCAGCAGUUGCGGUUAUACAAUUAGUUAAAUUAAAUAUUUUUGGUUUUAUAUUAUUUCUUUAUUUUAUAAUUUAAUUUAAUAUUUUAAGGUGAAAUUUUGAUAUUAUAUAAUUUUAUUGGUUGAUUAUUAGAUAUAUGAAAACUAUUAAUAAACUAGGAUUAGAUACCCUAUUAUAAUAGUUGUAAAUUUGCUUUAAUAUUAAUAGUUAUGAUCUUUAAAUUAAAAGAAUUUGGCGGUUAUUUAAUCUUUCUAGAGGAACCUGUCAUGUAAUUGAUAAUCCACGAUUGAUUUUACUUUUAUUUAACUUACAUAUCGCUGUCAUUGAAUGUUUUAUAAGAAUUUAAUUUUCUCCAAUUUUUAUGAAUAUAAUGUUAGGUCAAGAUGUAGUAAUAUAAAAGAAUGGAUGGGUUACAAUUUUUAUACAAAUGGAUUAGUAAUUGUAAUUUUACUAUAAAAUUGGAUUUAGGUGUAAUUUUUAAUAAAUAUUAAUUUUGAUUUUAGUUCUAAAUAAUGUACACAUCGCCCGUCGCUCUCAUUAUUAAGUUGGGAUAAGUCGUAACAAAGUAGUCCUACCGGAAGGUGGGUCUGGAUAUUUC